AUUGAACGCUGGCGGAAUGCUUUACACAUGCAAGUCGAGCGGCAGCACGGGGGCAACCCUGGUGGCGAGCGGCGAACGGGUGAGUAACACAUCGGAACAUGCCCAGUCGUGGGGGAUAACACUUCGAAAGAAGUGCUAAUACCGCAUACGUCCUGAGGGAGAAAGCGGGGGAUCUUCGGACCUCGCGCGAUUGGAGUGGCCGAUGUCAGAUUAGCUAGUUGGUGGGGUAAAGGCCUACCAAGGCAACGAUCUGUAGCUGGUCUGAGAGGAUGAUCAGCCAGACUGGGACUGAGACACGGCCCAGACUCCUACGGGAGGCAGCAGUGGGGAAUUUUGGACAAUGGGGGCAACCCUGAUCCAGCCAUGCCGCGUGAGUGAAGAAGGCCUUCGGGUUGUAAAGCUCUUUCGGCCGGGAAGAAAUCGCCAUCUCUAACAUAGGUGGUGGAUGACGGUACCGGAAUAAGAAGCACCGGCUAACUACGUGCCAGCAGCCGCCGUAACAC
rnacentral:rRNA from 1 species